AAAAAAAAAGAGCUUUUUUACUUUCUGUGGUGGCUACCACUCAAGAUUGCUCAGUGUCUCAACAGUUCUGUUUUCAUUUGGUUCUCAAUGUGCAUCAGUAGACAAAAUGGAAUGGGUAAAAAACUGUUGCUGAUGACACGUAAGAAUCAGAAGUUAAUGACAAAGGAAUGUUUUUUAAGACCAGUUGCCUGUGAUAACAUUCUCUUGUAUUUCAGAUCUGAACAUGAUCCCUUUGAAAUAUAAUUGAACAGAGGAUAUUCCAUUAAAAGUUGUGAUGACAAAUCAUUAAUCAGUUUUGUUCUGAAUCAGGCUUGCCUGAUUUGAAACACUGGAGUGAUACUCUGGGGCUGUUUCCAUUGCAGCACAUGAGGUGAUUAUAUUUGGAUUUGUUUCUUGGAGAAGACCCAGAAAAGGAACUGUAAUGGAAAGUCCUGCAAUCAUGAUACCCCUGAGACUCCAUUAACAAGCACCAUUACAUCACUGCUCACUUAAAGAAGGUUUCCUAGUUCUCAUAAUGGUGUUAAAGAGUUUUGCAAGCAACUUCCACAAGACAUCCCCACACUGUUUUUAUUAUCCUAGAUAAAAAAGGCUGUGGAAGAUCUUAUAUGCAUCACAUCAGUGACCUGAUUUCCAGAGGAACAGCUCUCAAAGUCCACAGGAGGUACUCAGCAUGUCUGAAAAUCAAGCCACAAAUAGAUGUGAAUCUCUCUUUCUUUUUUCCUCAAAGAACUGAACUGCCAAGUCUCAGCAAACAGCCAAAGAAACACAGCUUGUUCACAAAUGCUAAUUUAAAGCUGCAUGUGUGUUUGCACAGGCUGGAUUGGACUGAAUAAGUCUGAGUCACAAUAAAAGGGAAAUUUAUUAUUCUAAAAGGAAUCUUUAAAUUCUUGGAGGUUUAGGAAGGGGGAAAAAGGCUGUCAUUUGAGAGAUGUGCAUCUGUGGUAUCUGUGAGUAAGCCUGGAGCGGAAGUAAAGAGGAAAUCCCCCAUACUGCUUAAUGAAAUACUAUUGUGGGAUAAUCACUGCCAAAGAAACUCAUCAGUUCAGACUUUGAGCAUCUUUGUAUAUUAAAGUGCCUGAACUGUGCACGUGAAACAUGCAUUUCCUGUUUGGAGGGCAUUUUUGCCAAUAUUAAGAUCUGGACUGUUAUUCUGUAUAAAAUAGUAUCAUUUAUAUUGGGGGAAAGUAGGGUAGAGAUCUGGAUUUUAUUAUGUCACCUUUCUCAAUGGAUUGACUUUCUGUUUGUUUUGAAGAUCUUGAGAACAAGAAACUCUUUCCUAGCAUAAAAGAAAUGAAUAGUUGCACUGUCAUGUUCCUCUCAUAUCUUUUCUUAAAUUUCUCAGAUCAGAACACCAUUAUGUGCAAAGUAGCUAUGGAAAAAGUGUAAUGGAGGAACAAAACUCCUGUCUGAAAUCCUCACCAAAUGUACAGAAUGAAGAAAGAUAAUUCAUUUGUACUCAAGACAAAGGAACUUCAGGAUUCUUCCACAUGGAAGGCACUGUUGAUCUAAAAUUCAGACACGUGUUUCUCCAAGAUGUCACAGGUCCAGCAAACUAGAUGCCAGAACUUAUUUACCUGAAAUAGGAGGGUACAGAUAUGUUCCAAGUCAAUCUAGUGUACUCUACUUUCAUUUAGUAAAUGAUUGGUAAAUUGUCCCAGAUAUUACAUGAACCACUACAUGGUUAAUGUUAACAAUUCCUCUCCUGGAUAUAAAUCAGUAUUACUCUACUGAUCACAACAGGCUAAGGCAUAAUAUAGGCACACAUUCUUCAGUGCAAGAAGAGGGCAUAGAAAAUCCAAAGGGGCAAUUGAAUGCAGCACUAGCAAGCUGGCUGAUGAUACUAAACUCGGAGGUGAUCCUCCUUGGAGAUGGUGAUGGGAAGUUUGAGCAUUGAGCAAUGAUUAAUGGGAUCAAAUUUAACAAGACCAAACACCAUAUUCUGCAUCUGGGAUGCAGCAACAGUGGUCACAAGAAUGAAUUGGGAGAGAAGUAGGCAAGAUCAGCCCGGCAGACAGGGAUCUGAGGGUGCUGGCUGGGCAGCAGCUCUCCAAGAGCCAGCAGUGAGCCCUAACCCCAUCCUGGGGUGCAUCGAACACAGCAACAAAGCCAGUGGGAGGGCUGGAAGUCAUGUCCUGUGAGGAGCAGCUGUGG